rnacentral:rRNA from 1 species
UACGUAGGGUGCAAGCGUUGUCCGGAAUUAUUGGGCGUAAAGAGCUCGUAGGCGGUUUGUCGCGUCUGCUGUGAAAACUCGGGGCUUAACUCCGGGCCUGCAGUGGGUACGGGCAGGCUCGAGUUCGGUAGGGGAGACUGGAAUUCCUGGUGUAGCGGUGAAAUGCGCAGAUAUCAGGAGGAACACCGGUGGCGAAGGCGGGUCUCUGGGCCGAUACUGACGCUGAGGAGCGAAAGCGUGGGGAGCGAACAGG